rnacentral:tRNA from 1 species
GCAGAAGUAGCUCAGUUGGUAGAGCACAACCUUGCCAAGGUUGGGGUCGCGAGUUCGAGUCUCGUCUUCUGCU